AGUCGUAACAAGGUAUCCGUAGGUGAACCUGCGGAUGGAUCAUUAACAAAGGUGAUUUUGAAGUUGUGUGAACAGUUGGAGGUGGUGGUGGUGGUGGUGGUAUUGGGUGGUACUGGGUGGUAUUGGGUGGUAUUGGGUGGUAUUGAGUGGUGUAACCUUGGUCUAACCUUGGUCAACCUCACUCAACCUCACUCUCCCAACCUCACUCUCCCAACCUCCACCACUCCGUCCCUAUAAUGUAUACAAACUGAUGUCUGCUAGUUUCAAACUAAAACAACUUUUAGCAACGGAUCUCUUGGCUCUC
rnacentral:misc_RNA from 1 species